UCCUGGCAUGUGUCCUGACUGGGAAUUGAACCGUGACCUGCUGGUUCAUGGUUUUACCCUCAAGCACUGAGCCACACCAGCUGGGAGAUUUCUACUUUCUUAGUAAUGAACCACAAGUUCAAAGCUCUUGUGUUUGGAAAUUCAACAAGAAAAUGUGUUUCUAUUUCCUUAAAAAGCAGUGACCUUUUUGGAACAGAAUCCUGGGGGAAAGUCAUAGAAUGUAAAAUUCUGUGAUUUUCACACAUAAACUAUAAAUUCUAUAAUAUUAAAAGCAAUAACCUGACUUUUUAGUACUGGUCUCCAAGUGGAUGCAUCUCAUUCAAAUGUUAACUGCUAACAACUUGAGGUCCUCCAAAUCCAGCCAAAAAUCACUUGUGAACAUGAAGAAAUGGAAACAAAAGGAACAUCAGAUGGCUGAAUAGAGAAUAGCAAGCACCUGCUUGCUUUGGAAAAGCAGCUUCAGAUUUAAUUAAAAGAUACUGAUUCCAAAUAAGCAAUAACAUGUGAAAACAAAGAGCUAAUUUCUUUAGACCAAAAUAUUAGACUGAGAAUCGGUCGUAUCCAAUUUGGUGCCUCCAUCAGCACGUUUGGUGCCUCCAUCAGCACGUUUGGUUGAAAGCACAGGUUUGAUGUCUUUGAAGGGUUCACACUUCCACUGUGGAAUGAUGUACGUUUCCGCACCCAACAGAAACAAUGCCUCGAAAGGCUGUGUUCCCGGUGUCCUUUCCCAUCACCGCUCUCCGCGCUGUUUUCCUGAGCCGCAGGGUCGGCCUGGCACUUCCUCCAGGAGCGCUCCUGUCAGCUCGAAGCGCCAUUCACCCCACUGCUGAGUCAGCCCACCUUCACCCCACGACCUGGUAGCCACGCAAGGAGACCUUCACAUCUUGCACAAUAUUUUGUCUGGAUUGGAAUGGGCUCUAGGCCAAUUUCUUUAAAGCCCGUGCAGAUCUUCAGACAUUCACACAAUCACAUUUCUAAUUACGGAGGACCCUGAAAAUACAUCCCCUUGCAGCCUGAGCUGGACUGUUUGAUUCCACGUGAAGAUCUUUCACUGUGUCUCCCCCCCGGCUGACUUCCACAAACUCAGGCCGUCAUGAUCACUCCUAUUGUGGCAGGACCCUGUCCUAACAUGAAAAGCCAAGCUCUUAGAAGGAGUUCUAUAAAUAGAGUUAAUAAAGGUGAACAACCUGAAAUCGGAAGGGAGUAGGAAUCGGUGAUGGACUUCAAGUCUCCAACCUUCUCGGGGCUGGGAAGCCUUGCCAGCCCUGCUCCUGAGGAGCCGAGGGACAGAGGCCGCACAGAGCACACUCGGAGCUGAAGGGACCAUUCUUCUGUUACAAAGGCUCAUUACGGGUCAGAAGAAGACGUCAACCAUUCAGAGAGAAUCGCUUCUUGUUUUCCAGUGGAAUUCUGGUCAGCAAUGACAUUGUAUCGUAUAAUUCAUCAGGGCAGGAUAGGUUCCAAUUCAUGGGCAAACUCACUGUCGUAGAUCUGAACACCCUAGAAUCCAAGCCUAAGACAGUCAUUCUGGUGUGGGAAGUGUAUGGAAGGGGUGCUUUUCGAGGCAAGCUCUUCAGGGCGUAUGACAAGCAGGAAAGGGAAGAGGAAAGGCCUGAGCAAAGAUGUGGUCCUCUAUACAGGCUGGUCUCGAUCCGUUCCAUGGGAUCACAUCACAUCAUUAACUAUGACCGUCUCCCUUGAUGGGAGCUGGCCAGCCGUCGUAGCCCCAUGUCCAUCCAGCAUUGCCUGGUCCUAGUUGGAAGAGCAUAACCUCUAGGGGGUUGCAGUUGGCAUCAGCAAGUCUCUGGAAGGACGUGGAGGGCCAGUUCUGGGCCACUGGCAACCAGCAUUCACCGCUGCUGGAGAAGGGCGCCAGGCCUGGUGAAGGGAUAGGGCAUCCACCACACUCACUAACUGUGAUUCACUCCAAAACUAGGAACACACCCAGGACUCCGUCAGCUUCUAGGCAGACGGGAACGGGUCACCUCUGGCAUCGAGAGGGAGGUCAGGGGAUGGAAUGGUUGGCAAUCGCGCCCAGUUGCCUUUAAUUGCGUUACACCCUAUGACUUGCGCUUCCUUUGCUUGGUAACAAACUACAGCCCCCGGCAUAAUGUAUCCUUAACCUAUUUUGGUGCUCAUAAUUCAGAAUUAUUCCUUCUUCCCGCAUGCGAGAAAUGCUGCCAGUUUUGAGAAUAGCCAUUUAAGUGAAGGCCACGAGGCAGAACCUUCACAUUCAACUUGAUGAAAAAAAAACAGACUUUAUCAAUCACAAAGCACAAUUCUCUUUUAAUGGGAGGAGGGAGUUUUCGAUGGGGAGGUUUGGGGAAGUAGAGAGAACGCUCCCCCCUGAGGUCCGAGUUUUAUUGGCAUUGCUGGGUCCUGUCACGUGGGAACCCUUCACCCAGGGAGACACGCACACUCUGCUGGGGUGCGGCCCUCCCUGUCUCUCAGCUGGGCCACUGGGCAGUCCAUGUUCCUGCGCUCCCCCCAGACCUCGUGCUGGCUGGAGAGGGAGCGACCUGCAUCUCCGUGGCUGCUCUGCGGUGAACCGAGGCGUCAGAAUGGCGCUGAGCUUCUGCGCCAGCAGGGAGGAGGCUGGCUACUUGCUGCAGGAGAAAGAAAAAAUCACAAACCAAGGGCCAGAGAGGAAAGUGGCAGAUGGACUUCCGGUGGAAGCUCAGCUGUGAGCCAUCAUGCGGCUCCUUCUGGCAUCUUCCUUGCUACUCCCCCGCUCCAUCCACACCCGCAAAGAAACUGUUUCCCAACGGUGAGGCAAAGCUUGCAAGGCCUUCUAACCCGGCCUAUGGUCAAGUCCAACAAAGAAGUUAUGAUGAGUUUUCAUUGACCCUUCUCCAAACAUCCCUUAGCUGGGGCCAUGGAAGCUGUCAGCCAGGAGGGCCAACUCACUGCCGUGUAUCUGGGGCUCAGUGGCCAUUCUGUGGCCACACGGUGACCUGAGCGGAGCACUGGGUGGGGGUCGGUCAGUGCUGCUCCUACUCUGAUCAAGUUGAUUGAUCGUCAUUGGAUUAGAAUCCUGAUUUGUGGGAGUAAAUGGCAACUUUGGGUUUAACUAUUGGUGCAAAAGAGUAAGACGUUAUUUGUAAUGCUUGUAUGUAGUUGGGGAGGAUCGGCGAAUGCAUUUAUAAAGUGUCUUCAUAAACAGGAGAGAAGGAGAGCAAUGUGGAGAUGGAGGAGGAAAGGGGUAAAAAGUUCUUCCUUAGAUUUUCCGGAGUUUACAGGAGUCUAAGGUCAGCUGGGUUUCUACGUCAGCAUUGAUACACGUUUCCCUCUUCAUGGGGCCUGGGCUCAGUUUCAGAACAGAAUUUUACCUCUUCACAAAUUCAUCUGAGCAAAAUGCAAACGAGGUGGACAAAAGCACUAAAGCUAGAGUAAUAGCCUCCUUGUAAUGCUUUGUGUUUGUUUCCUGACAAUGAGGAGAUUAAAGCAAAAAAAUAAUUUUUUAAAAAGAAAAAGAAAAAAGAUCAAACACAGCUAAAUGUCCGCCAUUCAGCAGCCAAUGGGAGCCCCUAGGCCUGAGCCAGCUGUACUAACACCAUCGCCUUAGCUUCGAAUUGAAUACGCAAGACUCAGAAAGCAACGUGCCUGCUCCUCCUCUCCCUCCCCCUGCAGGGUGGGGAGCCGGAAAGACAAGCUUGCAGAGAGGAAAUGGAGGGGGACCCUUAGGCUCUCCGCACACAUUUAUUCACGCGGGACAGGAAAUGUCUGCGGCCCUGGCUCAGGUGGAGGAGGCCGUGGAGAAGUCUGGUCUGUGAGGGGCCCUGAGACAUGCUCACUGGGAGAGGAGCCCGGGCUCUCAGGGAGGGCGAGGACAUCAGUCCUGGCCUGGAGGGACUUGCCGUGAACCCCUCUGCCAGGGCCCAGACAGCAGUGGACAGGCAAUCCCGACGAUGCCCGGAGAGCUCGGAGCAAAUAGAUGUGAGGCUUGGCUGCUUCUUAUUGUUACAUCACGAUGUCACGGCCACAGAUGACUCCAUUCCCACCCAGUCUAUGGGCGACAGGAGGUCACAGACAUUAAGGAAGUCACAGCACAUUUAGAAAAGCGGCCCUCAGAAGCAUAAGUAGGAAGCCAUUUCUGACGGGAGACGAGUAGAAUGUUUGUAAAGACCCGUUGGAAGGCCUUCCCGCGCGGACCUUACAUGCGGUUUUUCUUUCAAUUCUUGUGAAAGGUAAGCGAGAUCGGCAGCUGAUCUGGUCCCCGCUUAGACAUAACUGCUUGUCCUGACGAGCUCGGAGGAAAGCUAUGAGUCUAAUGGUUCGUAGGCUGCCCUGAGUGUCUCUCCACGCUGGGCUGUGUCCACCGUCACGGAGGUCCCGUCACGUGCAUGUGGAACGGGAGUCGAGUUGGGCAACGUCUGACCAGGUUGCUUCCUGGCAUCCGAGGCCGCCACACCAGCUGAUGGGAAGCCCUAAGGUGCCUUUGUGUCCCUUCACCUUGCCUAUAAUUCUCCUUCCUCUCCUGCUGGGACACAUCGGUGGGACCCACGCACAGUCACUGAGGAUGCUGCUCUGUCCUCGGAAACUCCGGUGCAGGCCCUGGCGCUGCUGCCCCAGCCCGCUCCCAGCUCAGCCAAACGCCGGCCACAUGGAGAGGGGAGUGAGCCCGUCAAUGCCGCUGGAGCGAUCAGACUUGCUGCUUCCUUACAGGCGGUCUCAGGGGCCAUAUCUGCCCGGGAGGCAGGCGCGUAGCUUCCCGCUGGAACCAAUAGCGGGCCGUGUGCACCGCGCUGGGCGCUCCAGGGUCCCGUGCAUUUACCCACCGCGCACUUUCUCUCUAAAGUCCAGGCCCGGCUGCGGUGCGCACCUCCUGGGCCCUGUGGCUCUCCUGCUGGAGCUGGAGCUGGAGCUGGAGCUGGAGCUGGAGGCGCUGUGCUCUGUCCUCUGUUCCUGUGUCAGCAAAGGGUUUCCUGCUCUGCGAGUUCCAAGGACUCUGCUGCCCCACCGGGGACUCCCCAUCUGUAGCUGCCUGAAGCCUUCGCUCAGAACAAGCCACCAGGUCUGCAGGCGGGACCUGCAGCGUGUCUGCUGAUGUUCCCGGCGUGGCAAGGCUCUGCAGCCCAAGCGCUGGGGCCCUGAGGCCCUGGGCAUGACCCCUGCACCCCACACCUUGACGUCUGUCCUGCUCCCGGUGCAGAUCUUGGGGUCGCUGCCUUUGUCUUGCUUUCCUACCUGUUCUAGCCAACAGCAGCGUCAGAGCAAGCAGCGCUUCAGAAAAGAGGGUAACACAGUGGGGGGGCAUGGGCAGACCUUCCUCAAAUUCCAGGGCUGGCUAGUAACCAGGCGACUGAACCAGCCUCUUUGAGUGACAUUUACAUGUUAAAGGCGUGUACUAGUGCCUAGCUUGAAUAAGUGUUAUAAAGAUGGAAACAAGGCCGGCCAGUGUGGCUCAGAGGUUGAGCAUCAACCCAUGAACCAUGAGGUCACUGGUUUGAUUCCCACUCA